rnacentral:rRNA from 1 species
UUAAGCGACUAAGCGUACACGGUGGAUGCCCUGGCAGUCAGAGGCGAUGAAGGACGUGCUAAUCUGCGAAAAGCGUCGGUAAGGUGAUAUGAACCGUUACAGCCGGCGAUGUCCGAAUGGGGAAACCCAGUGCAAUUCGUUGCACUAUCGUUAACUGAAUACAUAGGUUAACGAGGCGAACCGGGGGAACUGAAACAUCUAAGUACCCCGAGGAAAAGAAAUCAACCGAGAUUCCCCCAGUAGCGGCGAGCGAACGGGGAGCAGCCCAGAGUCUGAAUCAGCUUGUGUGUUAGUGGAACGGUCUGGAAAGUCCGACGGUACAGGGUGAUAGUCCCGUACACCAAAAUGCACAGGUUGUGAACUCGAAGAGUAGGGCGGGACACGUGGUAUCCUGUCUGAAUAUGGGGGGACCAUCCUCCAAGGCUAAAUACUCCUGACUGACCGAUAGUGAACCAGUACCGUGAGGGAAAGGCGAAAAGAACCCCGGCGAGGGGAGUGAAAAAGAACCUGAAACCGUGUACGUACAAGCAGUGGGAGCACCUUCGGGUGUGACUGCGUACCUUUUGUAUAAUGGGUCAGCGACUUAUAUUCUGUAGCAAGGUUAACCGUAUAGGGGAGCCGCAGGGAAACCGAGUCUUAACUGGGCGUUAAGUUGCAGGGUAUAGACCCGAAACCCGGUGAUCUAGCCAUGGGCAGGUUGAAGGUUGGGUAACACUAACUGGAGGACCGAACCGACUAAUGUUGAAAAAUUAGCGGAUGACUUGUGGCUGGGGGUGAAAGGCCAAUCAAACCGGGAGAUAGCUGGUUCUCCCCGAAAGCUAUUUAGGUAGCGCCUCGUGAAUUCAUCUUCGGGGGUAGAGCACUGUUUCGGCUAGGGGGUCAUCCCGACUUACCAACCCGAUGCAAACUACGAAUACCGAAGAAUGUUAUCACGGGAGACACACGGCGGGUGCUAACGUCCGUCGUGAAGAGGGAAACAACCCAGACCGCCAGCUAAGGUCCCAAAGUCAUGGUUAAGUGGGAAACGAUGUGGGAAGGCACAGACAGCCAGGAUGUUGGCUUAGAAGCAGCCAUCAUUUAAAGAAAGCGUAAUAGCUCACUGGUCGAGUCGGCCUGCGCGGAAGAUGUAACGGGGCUAAACCAUGCACCGAAGCUGCGGCAGCGACACUAUGUGUUGUUGGGUAGGGGAGCGUUCUGUAAGCCUGCGAAGGUGACCUGUGAGGGUUGCUGGAGGUAUCAGAAGUGCGAAUGCUGACAUAAGUAACGAUAAAGCGGGUGAAAAGCCCGCUCGCCGGAAGACCAAGGGUUCCUGUCCAACGUUAAUCGGGGCAGGGUGAGUCGACCCCUAAGGCGAGGCCGAAAGGCGUAGUCGAUGGGAAACAGGUUAAUAUUCCUGUACUUGGUGUUACUGCGAAGGGGGGACGGAGAAGGCUAUGUUAGCCGGGCGACGGUUGUCCCGGUUUAAGCAUGUAGGCUGGUUAUCCAGGCAAAUCCGGAUAAUCAAGGCUGAGGUGUGAUGACGAGGCACUACGGUGCUGAAGUAACAAAUGCCCUGCUUCCAGGAAAAGCCUCUAAGCAUCAGGUAACAUCAAAUCGUACCCCAAACCGACACAGGUGGUCAGGUAGAGAAUACCAAGGCGCUUGAGAGAACUCGGGUGAAGGAACUAGGCAAAAUGGUGCCGUAACUUCGGGAGAAGGCACGCUGGUGUGUAGGUGAAGCCCCUGCGGGUGGAGCUGAGACCAGUCGAAGAUACCAGCUGGCUGCAACUGUUUAUUAAAAACACAGCACUGUGCAAACACGAAAGUGGACGUAUACGGUGUGACGCCUGCCCGGUGCCGGAAGGUUAAUUGAUGGGGUUAUCCGUAAGGAGAAGCUCUUGAUCGAAGCCCCGGUAAACGGCGGCCGUAACUAUAACGGUCCUAAGGUAGCGAAAUUCCUUGUCGGGUAAGUUCCGACCUGCACGAAUGGCGUAAUGAUGGCCAGGCUGUCUCCACCCGAGACUCAGUGAAAUUGAACUCGCUGUGAAGAUGCAGUGUACCCGCGGCAAGACGGAAAGACCCCGUGAACCUUUACUAUAGCUUGACACUGAACAUUGAGCCUUGAUGUGUAGGAUAGGUGGGAGGCUUUGAAGCGUGGACGCCAGUCUGCGUGGAGCCAACCUUGAAAUACCACCCUUUAAUGUUUGAUGUUCUAACGUUGGCCCCUGACCGGGGUUGCGGACAGUGUCUGGUGGGUAGUUUGACUGGGGCGGUCUCCUCCCAAAGCGUAACGGAGGAGCACGAAGGUUAGCUAAUCCUGGUCGGACAUCAGGAGGUUAGUGCAAUGGCAUAAGCUAGCUUGACUGCGAGCGUGACGGCGCGAGCAGGUGCGAAAGCAGGUCAUAGUGAUCCGGUGGUUCUGAAUGGAAGGGCCAUCGCUCAACGGAUAAAAGGUACUCCGGGGAUAACAGGCUGAUACCGCCCAAGAGUUCAUAUCGACGGCGGUGUUUGGCACCUCGAUGUCGGCUCAUCACAUCCUGGGGCUGAAGUAGGUCCCAAGGGUAUGGCUGUUCGCCAUUUAAAGUGGUACGCGAGCUGGGUUUAGAACGUCGUGAGACAGUUCGGUCCCUAUCUGCCGUGGGCGCUGGAGAAUUGAGGGGGGCUGCUCCUAGUACGAGAGGACCGGAGUGGACGCAUCACUGGUGUUCGGGUUGUCAUGCCAAUGGCACUGCCCGGUAGCUAAAUGCGGAAGAGAUAAGUGCUGAAAGCAUCUAAGCACGAAACUUGCCCCGAGAUGAGUUCUCCCUGAGACUUUAAGUCUCCUGAAGGAACGUUAAAGACGAUGACGUUGAUAGGCCGGGUGUGUAAGCGCAGCGAUGCGUUGAGCUAACCGGUACUAAUGAACCGUGAGGCUUAACCUU